CCGGCCACCACGACCAACUUUCCGAGCACGCAAAUUAUUGAAUAUACUCAAUCCAGGCCAAGUUAGAUCGAAUGAAUGAUGAGUUUCUUUUCAACGACAGACCAGUAGGGCCUAGCUGAAAUUGACACCAUUUUCUAAUCGCAAUGGUCAGGACAUCUCAGGCAUGUGAGGCCUUCUUACACGGUGCGGGUUCGAACAGGAUCGAGGAAGGUUUGCUUUUUUGCACGCUGAUAGGAACCGAUUUUGCGUGUAGAAAAUACCCGAACCUUCCUCGGUCCGGUUUAAACCCGCACCGUAUAAAAAGGCCUAUUGACAAAGACAGGCACAUUCUGUCACAGUUUGGCUCACUGGUCAAUUCAAGAUGAAGAUUUUACCCGCAAUUUUGGCAUUUAGUCUUCUCACAUCUGUGCUCAUGAUGGAAAAUGCUGAUGAUGUUGAUGAUGAUGCCUACCCUCGACGUCAUAGGUAUUAUUCUUUAUCAGAAAAAAUCCGUCUGUUAGAUGACUUUCAUGCUGCUGACAUUUUAAGGCAGCCUCGUGGGAUUACAGCCACUGACUUUGCAAGGGAAUAUAACAUCCCUCGAAGGACGAUGCGACGAUGGCUCAAUGAAGAAGAAGAAAUUCGAGAGAGGCACCGUGAGGCCAGCAAUCGGCAAGCUAGAAUGCAUCGACAAAGACAAAGAGGCGUAGCCCUCUGGCCCGAGGUUGAUCGUUUGGUUACAGAGUGGAUGCACGAACGACGUGGACAAGGACUCCCAGUGUCCGGGGAGGACUUGAUGAUGCAAAGCCAGCGUGAGUUUAAUGGAUGGUGGGCGGAGCUACCUGAAGACCAACAAGAAGAAUACCGCAUGAACAGACCUCACUAUGCUGAAUUUAAAGCCUCAAGAGGAUGGUUAUGUGAGAAUGAUGGGUAUCUCCUUUCAAAGUAUGAGGCCCGUUCACCUUUAAGUGGGAGUGUUUUUGCAAAUGAGCUAAAUUUGUGGCCUCUCAAUUAAACAACUUUAAUUGCAUUCUUUUCAAGUUUAAAACGAAAUGAUAAAAAUAACUUUUAUAUUGUAGCAACUAGGGAAAGGUAAACGACACAAAGCACAAGUAAAACAUAAUGUGUACUUUUAAGAUCUACGGUAUAUACAGUACGUGAGGUUAUUCAAGUUUGGCUUUUUAGCUCACCUCUUAGCAUAGGUGAGCUUAUCCCAUACCGUGGCGUCCGUCGUCAGUCGUCGUCGUCGUCGUCCGUCGUCGUCCGUCGUCCGUUAGCAGGGCACGUUUCGUAACUGUUAGAGCUAUUGAGUUGAAACUUGGUACACAUGUACCCUUAUGUAAUGACACCUUGGAGACCAAGUUUCGGUCCGAUUCGUUUCAUGGUUUGGCCACCAGGGGGCCAAACGUUAAAAGUGAAAAUAUGCAAUAUCUCCCUUAAUAGUAGUCGGGUGAUUUUGAAAAAAAUAUGGUAGGUACUUCUAGCAAAGGUGCAUCAUAUAUCCUCCGGGUUUUUGAUUUGACCCCCUUUUCAAGGUCACAGAGGUCAAAUGGUGUAAAUUGGCCGUUAGGAUGUAACGAUGGCACGUUUCUAAACUGCAAUGACUAUUGAUACCAAAUUUGGUACACAUUUACCCCUUAGUCAGGUGAUCUCAGGGACCGAAGUUUGGUCCAAUAUGAUUCACCACUUGACCACCAAAUCCAAAAACCUUAAAAAUGUGAUUAUUCCUUACCUUCUUGCCCGAUUGCCACCAAUUUGAUAUCAUGGGUACAUCUAACCACCAUACAGUACAGUGGAACCCCGGUCGGCGACCACCUCAGUAACGCGACCACCCCGCGAACACGACCAAAAUUCUCCGGUCCCGAAUGGUUUUCUCUCUAAUUCCCAUUAACUGGCCCUUGCUAACACGACCACCCCGGUACCCAGACCGCGACCACCAGCUUGGUCGGUCCCAAACUGCAAAUUAACCCCGCUAACGCGACCAUGAGGCCUAAUUGCCGUAAUCAACCAUGACUGCAUGGUAUCAAUUGGCACCUUCUUGCAAAUCCGUGUUGAUAAUUAGCACCUCGAACACAAUGACCAUGGGAAUCCAUAUGAAAAUAAAUGAUGUGUAAGUGAGUUUGAUCUUGGAGGAACUAUACUUCAAGUAUAAUUCCUCCAAGGUUUGAUCAAAUGUAAGCGCAAAUAAAAUGAAGAAUAAACUUUCUUUUCGA